rnacentral:lncRNA from 1 species
GGGCUCGGGUGCAGCCGGGGCUGCGGGGCUCCUGCAGCCUGCGCGCGCUCUGCUCGCCCGCCCGCCCGCCCACCCGCGCGGGCCCCCCUUGCGAUCGCGGCCGGGACUUCCUCAGCCGGCACUGGAGCUGCAGCAGGAGAGACUUGAGCUAGACUCUGGGAAAAACCGCUCUGGCCGAGACCAGCCAGUCAGAGCAGAGGAGGCAACGGCGGACUUUGUCCAGGAUUCUUCUCCACUCCUCCAGAAGAGGCCUCCCCCUCCCCCCACGGCCGGGCUAGAGCCGGGGCUGGAGGCAGGGGACUGCCAGUGCUGGACGCAGGUCCUCGCCGGACGGACUCUCCUCCUGGAUCGCUCGCCGGCCCAGGCAAGGCUGUUCCCAGAUUGCGGUGUUUCCGAUUCGGGCUCCCGGGGAUGAAUCAUCCCCCUUUCCCGCCGCCUGGCCUCUUUUCCAGCCUCCUCCGCCCGAGGCCUCCGUGGGCCGCGUCCGGGCCAGAACAGCACCGCCCCGGGG